rnacentral:rRNA from 1 species
GUGCCAGCCGCCGCGGUAAUACGGAGGAUGCGAGCGUUAUCCGGAUUUAUUAGGUUUAAAGGGUGUGUAGGCGGAAGACUAAGUCAGUGGUGAAAUCUCACAGCUUAACUGUGAAACUGCCAUAGAUACUGGUUUUCUUGAGUACAGUUGAAGUAGGCGGAAUGUGUAAUGUAGCGGUGAAAUGCUUAGAUAUUACACAGAACACCGAUUGCGAAGGCAGCUUGCUAAGCUGUUACUGACGCUGAUGCACGAAAGCGUGGGGAGCGAACAGGAUUAGAAACCCCUGUAGUCC